rnacentral:lncRNA from 1 species
CUCACACCGGACUAUGGAAUGAGUUCCUGGCCUUACUCUUCCUUUGAGCAGAUCCUCUGACUGUGGAGAAGCCAGACGACAUUCUUGCAGUCUUCCACCCCAAUACGGAAUGAUGAUAUACUGGUAACCAUACAUGGAGAGCACUAAUGUGGCUGAGUAGAAGAAGAGUCCUGUAGGAAGCACUCAGGGAAGGUCAACUACAUACCCAGGUAACUAAGUAGAAACAGGGGAGGGACUUACAACCUGAUACAGAAAAUGAAUCUGAAAGAAGAUACCUGUAGAGCAAACCAAAC